AGUCGCCAUGACGACCAGGAGGUCCGCUAGUCAACGGCUCGUCAACGGCUGCGGGGACAAGUCCGUUGAGGCUGCCAGGCGAGUCAGGCCUUUCUGGACCUCGCCUGACUCGGCUGGGCUGUGCCUGAAAUUGACCCAGCUCCACUAGGAAUUAUGAAGAAACAAGGACUCCGGGAAGAGGUGCACGAACUGCAGGCGCGGUGGUUCCCCAGCAGAACCACUCUGCAUCGGGGAAUUGAAAACAAGGAAUUCCCCAACCAAACAGGGGCACAGGCUGUGUUUGCAGCUCCUGUAAAAGCUCCAUACCCAGAGCCGUGUCUCCCAGCUCCCAGCCGUCUUUGUGGCAAUUCUACAUUGGUUACAUUUAGUAACACUUUUUGAAAAUGAUCAUCAUUUCUCUCACCUCUCAUCUUUGGAACGGGAGAUGACUUUUUGCAUUGAAACGGUUAGGUUUCUUCUUCUAACGAAUUAAUUUGUGGUUUAAGAAUAGCCAGACCGAGAGGUGACAGCAUGCUGGCAGUCCUCAGAGCCCUUGCUUGCUCUCGGCACCUCCCCUGCCUGGGCUCCCGCUUUGGUGGCAUUUGAGGAGCCCUUCAGUCCCCCACUGCACUGUGGGAGCCCCUUUCUGGGCUGGCCAAGGCCGGAGCCCACUCCCUCAGCUUGCAGGGAGGUGUGGAGGGAGAGACACGAGCGGGAACCGGGGCUGUGUGCUGCACUUGCGGGCCAUCUGGAGUUCCGGGUGGGCGUGGGCUUGGUGGGCCCCGCACUCAGAGCAGCCAGCCAGCCCUGCUGGCCCCGGGCAAUGGGGGACUUAGCACCUGGGCCAGUGGCUGCGGAGGGUGUACUGAGUCCCCCAGCAGUGCUGGCCCACCGGCGCUGCGCUCGAUUUCUCGCUGGGCCUUGGCUGCCUUCCCACGGGGCAGGGCUCGGGACCUGCAGCCCGCCAUGCCUGAGCCUCCUACCCAAUCCAUGGGCUCCUGUGCGGCCUGAGCCUCCCCGACGAGCACCACCCCCUGCUCCACGGCGCCCAGUCCCAUCGACCACGCAAGGGCUGAGGAAUGCGAGCGCCCGGCACAGGACUGGCAGGCAGCUCCACCUGCAGCCCCAGUGCAGGAUCCACUAGGUGAAGCCAGCUGGGCUCCUGAGUCUGGUGGGGACGUGGAGAGUCUUUAUAUCUAGCUCAGGGAUUGUAAAUACACCAAUCAGCACCCUGUGUUUAGCUCAAGGUUUGUGAGUGCACCAGUCAACACUCUGUAUCUAGCUGCUCUGGUGAGGGCGUGGAGAGUCUUUAUGUCUAGCUCAAGGAUUGUAAAUACACCAAUCAGCACUCUGUGUCUAGCUCAAGGAUUGUAAAUACACCAAUCGGCACUCUGUAUCUAGCUCAAGGUUUGUAAACACACCAAUCAGCACCCUGUGUUUAGCUCAAGGUUUGUGAGUGCACCAGUCGACACUCUGUAUCUAGCUGCCCUGAUGGGGACGUGGAGAACCUUUGUAUCUAGCUCAGGGAUUGUAAACGCACCAAUCAGCGCCCUGACGAAACAGGCCACUCGGCUCUACCAAUCAGCAGGAUGUAGGUGGGGCCAGAUAAGAGAAUAAAAGCGGGCUGCCCGAGCCAGCAUUGGCAACCCGCUCGGGUCCCCUUCCACACUGUGGAAGCUUUGUUCUUUCGCUCUUUGCAAUAAAUCUUGCUACUGCUCACUCUUUGGGUCCACGCUGCUUUUGUGAGCUGUAACACUCACCAUGAAGAUCUGCAGCUUCACUCCUGAGCCCAGCGAGACCACGAGCCCACCGGGAGGAACGAACAACUCCAGACACGCCACCUUAAGAGCUGUAACACUCACCGCGAGGGUCCACCGCUUCAUUCUUGAAGUCAGUGAGACCAAGAACCCACCAAUUCCGGACACAAGACUAUGAGGGACUUUAUUAUUCUUACUUCAAGACCAUUAUUGAAGCACCUUCAUUUUUGGGAGGACUGUGGAUGAUUAUGAAUGACAGGCUUACUGAAUAUCCUCUUGUAAUUAAUGCAGUAAAACGCUUCCAUAUUUAUCCAGAGAAUUCUGGAGUCCAAGGAAGACCAAGAUCAAGGCGCCAGCAGAUUUGGUGUCUGGUGAAGGCUGCUCUCCGCUUCCAAGAUGGUGCCUUGAUGUUGCAUCUUCCUGAAGGAGAGGAACACUGUGUCCUCACAUGGCAGACAGUAGGAGAGUAAUCAUAGCCUCCUGGUAUCGCACAUUCAUGGGAAUAGUGAAUUUAUUUGGACUAGAAACUAAGACCUGCUGGAAUGUCACCAGAAUAGAACCUCUUAAUGAAGUUCAAAGCUGUGAAGGAUUGCGAGAUCCUGCUUGCUUUUAUGUUGGUGUAAUCUUUAUUUUAAAUGGACUAAUGAUGGGAUUGUUCUUCAUAUAUGGAACAUACCUAAGUGGUACUGAACUGGGAGGUCUUAUUACAGUACUGUGCUUCUUUUUCAACCAUGGAGAGGCCACCUGUGUGAUGUGGACACCACCUCUCCGUGAAAGUUUUUCCUAUCCUUUCCUUGUACUUCAGAUGUAUGUUUUAACUUUGAUUCUCAGGACCUCAAGCAAUGAUAGAAGGCCCUUCAUUGCACUCUGUCUUUCCAAUGUUGCUUUUAUGCUUCCCUGGCAAUUUGCUCAGUUUAUACUUUUUACACAGAUAGCAUCAUUAUUUCCCAUGUAUGUUGUGGGAUACAUUGAACCAAGCAAAUUUCAGAAGAUCAUUUAUAUGAACAUGAUUUCAGUUACCCUUAGUUUCAUUUUGAUGUUUGGAAAUUCAAUGUACUUAUCUUCUUAUUAUUCUUCAUCUUUGUUAAUGACAUGGGCAAUAAUUCUAAAGAGAAAUGAAAUUCAAAAACUGGGAGUAUCUAAACUCAACUGCUGGCUAAUUCAAGGUAGUGCCUGGUGGUGUGGAACAAUCAUUUUGAAAUUUCUGACAUCUAAAAUCUUAGGCGUUUCAGACCAUAUUUGCCUGAGUGAUCUUAUAGCAGCCGGAAUCUUAAGGUAUACAGAUUUUGAUACUUUAAAAUACACCUGUUCUCCCGAAUUUGACUUCAUGGAAAAAGCGACUCUGCUGAUAUACACAAAGACAUUAUUGCUUCCAGUUGUUAUGGUGAUUACAUGUUUUAUCUUUAAAAAGACUGUUGGUGAUAUUUCGCGUGUUUUAGCUACAAACGUUUAUCUAAGAUGCUGUCUUUGCAGGUGCCAUGCCUACAAUGGCAAGUGUCAAGCUGUCUACACUUCAUCCCAUUGUGAAUCAUCCACAUUACGAAGAUGCAGACUUGAGGCCUGGUUGCAGCAUGCUUGAAAUCUGGGAUGUGGAAGACCCUUCCAAUGCAGCUAACCCUCCCUUAUGUAGCGUCCUCCUUGAGCCGAGAUUGUGCCACUGCACUCCAGCCUGGGCGACAAAUCAAGACCCCGUCUCC
ensembl:lncRNA DPY19L2P2 DPY19L2 pseudogene 2